rnacentral:rRNA from 1 species
GAUGAACACUGGCGGCGUGCCUAAUACAUGCAAGUCGAGCGAACAGACGAGGAGCUUGCUCCUCUGACGUUAGCGGCGGACGGGUGAGUAACACGUGGAUAACCUACCUAUAAGACUGGGAUAACUUCGGGAAACCGGAGCUAAUACCGGAUAAUAUAUUGAACCGCAUGGUUCAAUAGUGAAAGACGGUUUUGCUGUCACUUAUAGAUGGAUCCGCGCCGCAUUAGCUAGUUGGUAAGGUAACGGCUUACCAAGGCAACGAUGCGUAGCCGACCUGAGAGGGUGAUCGGCCACACUGGAACUGAGACACGGUCCAGACUCCUACGGGAGGCAGCAGUAGGGAAUCUUCCGCAAUGGGCGAAAGCUUGACGGAGCAACGCCGCGUGAGUGAUGAAGGUCUUCGGAUCGUAAAACUCUGUUAUUAGGGAAGAACAAAUGUGUAAGUAACUAUGCACGUCUUGACGGUACCUAAUCAGAAAGCCACGGCUAACUACGUG